GUUCUUAAAAUUGAAAUCUCUCUCAAGUUUUGGCAUGACUGUUAUUAAUUAAGAUUUGCUCUAAACCUAAACUUGUGGGAAGAGUACUUGAUCUGAAGUCUAAGUCAUUAACGGAUAUGAUAUGGGAAGGUUGAGCUGCUGUUUAUCUGUUCCUAGAGAUGCUAGAAUUCUGGAGAAUUUUAUCUUUGAAAAUCUUUAAAAUGUUGCAUGAUGAGUUCCUGUAUGAUGAGAGUUUAAAUUCCUACCACAGCCAUAUAUACAUGCUUGUUAGACUAUGAACCACACAUUUACUUUUUAAUGCUUAUGAGCAUUGAGUGUGGUCAAGCUGUGUAGACCCUUAGGAGCUUGUCAUGUGGUUAAAUCAAGAUUCACUUGCACGUUCACUCACACAUGGUACUUCUACUCUAGAAGUACCAUCCAUAUAUAUCCAUCCAUUUCCAUCUCCAGAACCACCCAAAAAUAUUCUACUCCUAAUCCGGGAGAGAAUAGCCAAAAACAUUCUCCUAUUUCUGUUUUUCCCUGUGAAAAAAAAUGCUCAAGUUAUCUUGGUUACUACCACUUGCUAUAUUAUUUUAGGAGAUGAGUGCUCUAAAAAAAGAAAGAAAAACAGAAAGAAUGCGAGGAAAUAAAAGGGGCAAGUGCCCGGAACCUCGAAUGAAAAGAAAAAGUGAGACGAGAGGUAAAAAUGGACAAGUGUCCGACAGUAGAAUUAGGGGUACAAGAUACCCACCUGAGAGAAAAGAAAAAUAAAAUAUAGAGCAUCUCAUUCUCCUCAAAAAGUUUCAAAAGAGCAAGAAAGGUAUGUAUCCCCUCAAAAGAGCAUAAGUAGAAUUAGACUUCCACCAUUGUUAUCACCAUCAUCACCAUACACCAUUCAUUCGCCACACAUGCACAUCUUGAUUUGACUUAUUGACUUGUUCUUCUGGAUCCAUGGUCUGACUAUGCAAUAAAUGUCUUGUAAGUAUGUAUUAGCUGUCUCCCACCUAUGAGCUCCAGAUAUCAAAACCUUAUUAGAGUAGGGUGAGAGAGAAGGCAAUGCCACUAUGCCUC
rnacentral:lncRNA from 1 species